AAUGGGUCAGCGACUUAUAUUCUGUAGCAAGGUUAACCGAAUAGGGGAGCCGAAGGGAAACCGAGUCUUAACUGGGCGUUAAGUUGCAGGGUAUAGACCCGAAACCCGGUGAUCUAGCCAUGGGCAGGUUGAAGGUUGGGUAACACUAACUGGAGGACCGAACCGACUAAUGUUGAAAAAUUAGCGGAUGACUUGUGGCUGGGGGUGAAAGGCCAAUCAAACCGGGAGAUAGCUGGUUCUCCCCGAAAGCUAUUUAGGUAGCGCCUCGUGAAUUCAUCUCCGGGGGUAGAGCACUGUUUCGGCAAGGGGGUCAUCCCGACUUACCAACCCGAUGCAAACUGCGAAUACCGGAGAAUGUUAUCACGGGAGACACACGGCGGGUGCUAACGUCCGUCGUGAAGAGGGAAACAACCCAGACCGCCAGCUAAGGUCCCAAAGUCAUGGUUAAGUGGGAAACGAUGUGGGAAGGCCCAGACAGCCAGGAUGUUGGCUUAGAAGCAGCCAUCAUUUAAAGAAAGCGUAAUAGCUCACUGGUCGAGUCGGCCUGCGCGGAAGAUGUAACGGGGCUAAACCAUGCACCGAAGCUGCGGCAGCGACGCUUAUGCGUUGUUGGGUAGGGGAGCGUUCUGUAAGCCUGUGAAGGUGUGCUGUGAGGUAUGCUGGAGGUAUCAGAAGUGCGAAUGCUGACAUAAGUAACGAUAAAGCGGGUGAAAAGCCCGCUCGCCGGAAGACCAAGGGUUCCUGUCCAACGUUAAUCGGGGCAGGGUGAGUCGACCCCUAAGGCGAGGCCGAAAGGCGUAGUCGAUGGGAAACAGGUUAAUAUUCCUGUACUUGGUGUUACUGCGAAGGGGGGACGGAGAAGGCUAUGUUGGCCGGGCGACGGUUGUCCCGGUUUAAGCGUGUAGGCUGGUUUUCCAGGCAAAUCCGGAAAAUCAAGGCCGAGGCGUGAUGACGAGGCACUACGGUGCUGAAGCAACAAAUGCCCUGCUUCCAGGAAAAGCCUCUAAGCAUCAGGUAACAUCAAAUCGUACCCCAAACCGACACAGGUGGUCAGGUAGAGAAUACCAAGGCGCUUGAGAGAACUCGGGUGAAGGAACUAGGCAAAAUGGUGCCGUAACUUCGGGAGAAGGCACGCUGAUACGUAGGUGAAGCGACUUGCUCGUGGAGCUGAAAUCAGUCGAAGAUACCAGCUGGCUGCAACUGUUUAUUAAAAACACAGCACUGUGCAAACACGAAAGUGGACGUAUACGGUGUGACGCCUGCCCGGUGCCGGAAGGUUAAUUGAUGGGGUUAGCGCAAGCGAAGCUCUUGAUCGAAGCCCCGGUAAACGGCGGCCGUAACUAUAACGGUCCUAAGGUAGCGAAAUUCCUUGUCGGGUAAGUUCCGACCUGCACGAAUGGCGUAAUGAUGGCCAGGCUGUCUCCACCCGAGACUCAGUGAAAUUGAACUCGCUGUGAAGAUGCAGUGUACCCGCGGCAAGACGGAAAGACCCCGUGAACCUUUACUAUAGCUUGACACUGAACAUUGAGCCUUGAUGUGUAGGAUAGGUGGGAGGCUUUGAAGUGUGGACGCCAGUCUGCAUGGAGCCGACCUUGAAAUACCACCCUUUAAUGUUUGAUGUUCUAACGUGGACCCGUGAUCCGGGUUGCGGACAGUGUCUGGUGGGUAGUUUGACUGGGGCGGUCUCCUCCUAAAGAGUAACGGAGGAGCACGAAGGUUGGCUAAUCCUGGUCGGACAUCAGGAGGUUAGUGCAAUGGCAUAAGCCAGCUUGACUGCGAGCGUGACGGCGCGAGCAGGUGCGAAAGCAGGUCAUAGUGAUCCGGUGGUUCUGAAUGGAAGGGCCAUCGCUCAACGGAUAAAAGGUACUCCGGGGAUAACAGGCUGAUACCGCCCAAGAGUUCAUAUCGACGGCGGUGUUUGGCACCUCGAUGUCGGCUCAUCACAUCCUGGGGCUGAAGUAGGUCCCAAGGGUAUGGCUGUUCGCCAUUUAAAGUGGUACGCGAGCUGGGUUUAGAACGUCGUGAGACAGUUCGGUCCCUAUCUGCCGUGGGCGCUGGAGAACUGAGGGGGGCUGCUCCUAGUACGAGAGGACCGGAGUGGACGCAUCACUGGUGUUCGGGUUGUCAUGCCAAUGGCACUGCCCGGUAGCUAAAUGCGGAAGAGAUAAGUGCUGAAAGCAUCUAAGCACGAAACUUGCCCCGAGAUGAGUUCUCCCUGACCCUUUAAGGGUCCUGAAGGAACGUUGAAGACGACGACGUUGAUAGGCCGGGUGUGUAAGCGCAGCGAUGCGUUGAGCUAACCGGUACUAAUGAACCGUGAGGCUUAACCUUACAACGCCGAAG
rnacentral:rRNA from 1 species